rnacentral:lncRNA from 1 species
UCCAAGAAUGUAUUUUUGCAUUUCAGUAUGUUUUACUUCAGCUGAGCCUGGCCAACUGAACACUGUCUCCCUGACUCCCAUGGCCUCCUGUCAGUCUGCAAGUCUCUAGGACUAGGAACUUCCUGCUUGUCUUUUAAGAGAAGUCUCUCAGUGUCCAGUGAUCACAGAGGAAGAACAGACUUCUAAUGCAAGAAUCUCAGUUCUGUGGCUGAAGUCAGAAGAUGUGGGUGCUUCUUCCCCUCCCCCUUCUUCCCCUGUGCAAAAAUGCACAUCUUGUAAAUCAAAACUCAUUCUGAAAUACAAGUACUUACUGCUUGAUUCACAAAGCUGAAGACACAUCUUGAAAACAUAAAUCCCUACAUCACAUCUCACUUUCCCUGAAGAAGAAACCAACUGGUGCUGCAUUCCCCACUGGGAUCAGUGCUAAUGGGACCUGUGGAAAUUGCAGGUACAGAAUUCUGCUCUGUGACACUGUAAGCCAAGGCAGCUGUCACAUUAAACCUUGCCUUUUUCUCUGAGCAGGUAACCCAGGGUAAGUUUUACACUAUCUACACUCAUCUCU